CUAAGGAUGGUCCUUCAGUCUGCUUCGGCAACUAUCGGAUCGUUUUAGAAACAUCAGUGGCCAGUGAUUGGAUCAAUCGCUGAGCUGCAUUGGCGGGACACCGCCGUCUUCGUUUCUCUUUCUUCGCGGACGAACACGCGCCAGGGGCGGCGUUGAGCGAUGCACGUUGCAUAUGCGACGUCGCGCCGACCGAGCUCCUCGUCGUUAGGGCUUGUAGCUCAGUUGGUUAGAGCGCGCGCUUGAUAAGCGUGAGGUCGGAAGUUCAAGUCUUCCCAUGCCCACCAUAUUUGCGCGACUAUCCUUUGAGGUUGCUGCGCUCACGUCACGACAUCGCAUCUUGCUAAGAAACGCUGUCCUUGCGUUGAGCAUUCGUCUUCUGGAACGGGGGCAUAGCUCAGCUGGGAGAGCGCGUGCUUUGCAAGCAUGAGGUCGUCGGUUCGAUCCCGUCUGCCUCCACCAGAGGUUUGGAUGGGGCGACGAGUUGCAAGUGUUCACAGUGUGCCCCGUACGGGUGGCGCCUGUUAAAUAGUCCGCGAAACAUCACUUCGCAUUCAGUAUCUUCACCAAGAUGCUGCGUGCGUGAUUUCUGACAUCGUAAAGAGGAGAUCGAUCCGAGCUUGGAUCGCGAAACAUAUCGAAAGAUAUGCGUUGCGGAUUCUUGCACUAUCUCCUGGCCGCUCAUCUGAAGCAUCGCAAGAUGGUUCGGGUGGCAUCGGGCGUCGCAAGACGGCUGGUGUUGUUACCUUGUGUGACAGCGUCUUUGUUAGUGAAGCUUGACCGCCUCACUAUCGGUUCGAUCUUACGAAGCAAGCUGGUCUUUCUAAUCAUAUCCAGCUGCACAUAGCCUCUAUCGAGGGGGCGCGCUGCUGAUCUUCGGAUCUUCAGCAAGUGUGCAGUUCAACAUUCUGCCGAGUGUGUGGAUAUUGAUAAUGAGAGCA
rnacentral:tRNA from 1 species